rnacentral:rRNA from 1 species
AGUGAACGCUGGCGGUAGGCCUAACACAUGCAAGUCGAACGGCAGCACAGUAAGAGCUUGCUCUUACGGGUGGCGAGUGGCGGACGGGUGCGGAAUACAUCGGAAUCUACUUUUUCGUGGGGGAUAACGUAGGGAAACUUACGCCAAUACCGCAUACGACCUACGGGUGAAAGCAGGGGAUCUUCGGACCUUGCGCGAUUGAAUGAGCCGAUGUCGGAUUAGCUAGUUGGCGGGGUAAAGGCCCACCAAGGCGACGAUCCGUAGCUGGUCUGAGAGGAUGAUCAGCCACACCGGAACUGAGACACGGUCCAGACUCCUACGGGAGGCAGCAGUGGGGAAUAUUGGACAAUGGGCGCAAGCCUGAUCCAGCCAUACCGCGUGGGUGAAGAAGGCCUUCGGGUUGUAAAGCCCUUUUGUUGGGAAAGAAAAGCAGCAGGUUAAUACCCCGCUGUUCUGACGGUACCCAAAGAAUAAGCACCGGCUAACUUCGUG